ensembl:lncRNA
AGAUACUCAGAACUGUGCCACACAAUGGUGAAAUAAGCAAGAAAAGAAGUUUGGGGAACACCUCCGCGAUGGUCCAAUGAGUCAAAGCCGGCUGUGGGGGCGGGUGUCCCCUUUAUGACCAGUUUCAUCAGGGAUCUCCCUGCGCUGCAGCCUCCGGCACCAACGCACACGUCCACGAUGUUUCCAUCGAGACAUUUCGAUGUGGCGAGGGCUGGUUUGAUAAAGAGAGAAUCAAACCGCUUCUCGUCUGUAGUGUUCCACUUCCUGGAAAACGGGUUUGUAAACACACGCCGUAAAUGUCAGCAGCCCAUGAUUUAUGUCCCUGCCGGUUGGAACACUCACCAACAUCGCAAGAAGUGACAUAAUUGUUUGGUUGAAAAAUGUUGCCUUUUGAUUAUUUUUUUUAACUGUUCAACUUUAAAGCUUAGUUCUUGGAUAAGUGAUUCCAGGUCCCUCUUUUCCUUUACUUUUCUUUAGUAGUAAGUGUAAGACAUGUCUUGGUGUCUUCCUGAUCAACCAAUUUCCAUUACAUUCCCUUGAGACAUCACAAGUCCCAGCUUCAUUCCCAGGAGGAAUAAUGUCCGUCUUCGGCCCGUCCCUGUCUCUGGGGAGGUAGCUGGCGUGUGUUUUUCUAAGUGUCUGCUGUGCCGGCUGCUGGCAUCAUACUGGUUCUGGCCAGGCUGUGGUCUCUCGCCUCCCCGUACUCUGCUUCCGCCUGCGGUGUGGCGGGCCUCCUUCCUGUGUGUGUGUCAGUGGCAGUUUGGCCUGAUUUAUAGGCCCCUGAUCCACGGCGUUUUGGACCCCACCUCCGCUGCUGGAAUGGCUAUUCCGUGUGUCGGCGGUGGCUCCACCUGGGUGGUUCUCCACUGAUGGGGGUCAGAUGUGGUCCUGCUCACAAGCUCCAGGAGCUCAGGGGAACGUAACCUGCAGACCGUCUGGAGAGAAAGUGCUUUCAGAAAAUGUGGUUCCAGGCUGAGGAGGUUUUACUUUUAUUUAAAGCAACAAGCGCUUGCAAUAUAACGGUAGCCGAUAUUUGAGAAUUUCUUCAAAUGGGGCGCAAAUGGCCAACUUGUAUCGAGGAUGAACUGGUCCCAUUUCACAGGUCAAAGGUCAAGGGCACUUUGACCUUCAAGUUUCUCUCAUUCUCAUGAAUAUUGCCGCAGCAAAUAUCAAAUUUUGGACAAAUGUCCACCCAAACUCAGGACUGAACUGGUUAGUAUUUGUUUCAUGGGUCACUCCAGUCAUAAAACGCGUGUUGUGGUCUUAACGCUAAUUAAGAUCAAACCUUUAUUAGCCCCAGAGUAUAGAAAACAUAUAGUGAAAACUUAAAAGUAUAAUAAAUUAAGUAAAUCUUCAAAGAUCAGCAAUAGUUGAAAAUAAUAUAGAUUGAGUGGUUAUGCCUGUUAUUUUACAUAUGAGGUGGGGGAUAUAAUAAAUAAUUAUAAUGUGUGUAUUGA